AUUAGGCCAGCAUUUCCUGUGGUUAGUGUGCAAUUUAUUUGAAAAGCGAGCUUUGACUCUCCUGCAUGGCAAACCCUGCAGCCCCUGAGCGAUGUGAAGAGGCACUUUUGCCUACAAAUCAAGUCUGUUUCACUUUCAAGGGUGCACAGAUCUGCUCUGAAAACAAUCUCUGUACUAGAAGACCCAUUUUUCUAACAUGCAGUAUUUAUUUUACCGAGUUCAACCAGCAGUUCUCUGUGGCUUAACCAGG